rnacentral:rRNA from 1 species
AGUGAACGCUGGCGGUAGGCCUAACACAUGCAAGUCGAACGGCAGCACAGUAAGAGCUUGCUCUUACGGGUGGCGAGUGGCGGACGGGUGAGGAAUACAUCGGAAUCUACUUUUUCGUGGGGGAUAACGUAGGGAAACUUACGCUAAUACCGCAUACGACCUACGGGUGAAAGCAGGGGAUCUUCGGACCUUGCGCGAUUGAAUGAGCCGAUGUCGGAUUAGCUAGUCGGCGGGGUAAAGGCCCACCAAGGCGACGAUCCGUAGCUGGUCUGAGAGGAUGAUCAGCCACACUGGAACUGAGACACGGUCCAGACUCCUACGGGAGGCAGCAGUGGGGAAUAUUGGACAAUGGGCGCAAGCCUGAUUCAGCCAUACCGCGUGGGUGAAGAAGGCCUUCGGGUUGUAAAGCCCUUUUGUUGGGAAAGAAAAGCAGCAGGUUAAUACCCCGCUGUUCUGACGGUACCCAAAGAAUAAGCACCGGCUAACUUCGUG